rnacentral:rRNA from 1 species
ACGGGAGGCAGCAGUGGGGAAUAUUGGACAAUGGGCGAAAGCCUGAUCCAGCAAUGCCGCGUGAGUGAUGAAGGCCUUAGGGUUGUAAAGCUCUUUUACCAGGGAUGAUAAUGACAGUACCUGGAGAAUAAGCUCCGGCUAACUCCGUGCCAGCAGCCGCGGUAAUACGGAGGGAGCUAGCGUUGUUCGGAAUUACUGGGCGUAAAGCGCGCGUAGGCGGUUACUCAAGUCAGAGGUGAAAGCCCGGGGCUCAACCCCGGAACUGCCUUUGAAACUAGGUAGCUAGAAUCUUGGAGAGGUCAGUGGAAUUCCGAGUGUAGAGGUGAAAUUCGUAGAUAUUCGGAAGAACACCAGUGGCGAAGGCGACUGACUGGACAAGUAUUGACGCUGAGGUGCGAAAGCGUGGGGAGUAAACAGGAUUAGAUACCCUGGUA